CAGAAUAUUUACUUUUGUGUCCUGUAUUAUACAGAUGCUUCAGCUCUAACCAGCAGUUAAAACACAGCCCGAGCUGCAAGUCACCCACCAGCUGCACAAGGCAGGGGACAGAGACCCGGGCUGGAGCUGAAAGGGAGAGCGAGCCGUGGGGGAUGUGGCAGGAGAGAGGCACCAGCGCAAGGCUGAAGUGCCAGCUGAGGAGGUCCCCGUCUGUCCUGGCGCCUUCCUAAACUCCCUGUCCAACACUCCCAAGCAUGGCAUCAGCUAUAAUAGCGGCUACCACUGAGGGCAGGAGGACUGUCAUCAGCACAACAGAACUCAUAACCAGAUUUUAAACCACAUUUUUCCUCCCAUAUUAAUUAAUUUUUGGGCUUCUGAAGAAAAAUAACAGGAAUAAUGUUAAAAAUGGUUUACAAUACUUAAACAUUGCAGUUGGAUGUACAGUAGGUGUGCAGAAAUACUAGUGUGGAUUGACAGUCCUGGCACAAGACCCUGCACCCUGGAAUCAAGGGGGUUUCAGCGAGAGAAAGCCUUAUUCCCAUGCAUUCAGAAGACAGAGGGCCUGAUUUGAUUGUAACCUUAAAAUACU
rnacentral:lncRNA from 1 species